GAUGAAGAACGCAGCGAAAUGCGAUAAGUAGUGUGAAUUGCAGAAUUCAGUGAAUCAUCGAAUCUUUGAACGCACAUUGCGCCCCUUGGUAUCCCGAGGGACAUGCCUGUUCGAGCGUCAUUUCACCACUCAAGCCUGGCUUGGUGUUGGGCGACGUCCCCUUUAGGGACGCGCCUCGAAACGCUCGGCGGCGCGGCACCGGCUUUAAGCGUAGCAGAAUCUUUCGCUUUGGAAGUCGGGGCCCCGUCUGCCGGAAGACCUACUCGCAAGGUUGACCUCGGAUCAGGCAGGGAUACCCGCUGAACUUAAGCAUAUCAAUAAGCGGAGGA
rnacentral:misc_RNA from 1 species